GUUGAACGCUGGCGGAAUGCUUUACACAUGCAAGUCGAACGGCAGCACGGACUUCGGUCUGGUGGCGAGUGGCGAACGGGUGAGUAAUGUAUCGGAACGUGCCCAGUCGUGGGGGAUAACGUAGUGAAAAUUACGCUAAUACCGCAUACGAUCUAUGGAUGAAAGCGGGGGAUCGCAAGACCUCGCGCGAUUGGAGCGGCCGAUAUCAGAUUAGGUAGUUGGUGGGGUAAAGGCCCACCAAGCCAACGAUCUGUAGCUGGUCUGAGAGGACGACCUGCCACACUGGAACUGAGACACGGUCCAGACUCCUACGGGAGGCAGCAGUGGGGAAUUUUGGACAAUGGGCGAAAGCCUGAUCCAGCCAUUCCGCGUGCAGGAUGAAGGCCCUCGGGUUGUAAACUGCUUCUGUACAGAACGAAAAGGUUUCUACUAAUACUAGGAGCUCAUGACGGUACUGUAAGAAUAAGCACCGGCUAACUACGUGCCAGCCGCCGCGGUAA
rnacentral:rRNA from 1 species